CAGUAACGGCGAGUGAAGCGGCAACAGCUCAAAUUUGAAAUCUGGCUCUCGGGCCCGAGUUGUAAUUUGUAGAGGAUGCUUUUGGUGAGGUGCCUUCCGAGUUCCCUGGAACGGGACGCCAUAGAGGGUGAGAGCCCCGUCUGGUUGGACACCGAUCCUCUGUAAAGCUCCUUCGACGAGUCGAGUAGUUUGGGAAUGCUGCUCUAAAUGGGAGGUAUAUGUCUUCUAAAGCUAAAUACCGGCCAGAGACCGAUAGCGCACAAGUAGAGUGAUCGAAAGAUGAAAAGAACUUUGAAAAGAGAGUUAAACAGUACGUGAAAUUGUUGAAAGGGAAGCGCUUGUGACCAGACUUGGGCUUGGUUGAUCAUCCGGGGUUCUCCCCGGUGCACUCUUCCGGCCCAGGCCAGCAUCAGUUCGCCCUGGGGGACAAAGGCUUCGGGAAUGUGGCUCUCUCCGGGGAGUGUUAUAGCCCGUUGCGUAAUACCCUGUGGCGGACUGAGGUUCGCGCAUUCGCAAGGAU
rnacentral:rRNA from 1 species